ensembl:rRNA 5S_rRNA 5S ribosomal RNA
GCUUACGGCCACACCGGCCUGAGUACGCCUGAUCUCGUCCGAUCUCGGAAGCUAAGCAGGGUCGGGCCUGGUUAGUACUUGGAUGGGAGACCACCUGGGAAUACCAGGUGCUGUAAGCU